CCUACCCCCAGCUCCAGCAUAAGACAGACUGCGGAACUGCCCAUGAGGCCAAGCACCUAUUAGUAGACCAAGAAGCAUCACCCAUCCAUGGCCUAAGUCGGCAGCCAGCUAUUGUUCUCAUCUGAGUCUGGGAGUUCAGGAUUUCCAUCCUGACCCGGCUACUUUCUUUCAACAGUUACCCACUGUAAAUUUCCGAAUACUUUCAGCUACUAAUCCCAGUGUACCCAAUUAAAAAUGGCUUUCCUAAUAAAGGCAUUUCAGAU
rnacentral:lncRNA from 1 species